AUUUAAGUAUUUUAUUUAAAAUAAAGAAUUGUGGUUUCUUAGAAGUUUUUUAACCUUAAGUU
rnacentral:tRNA from 1 species